rnacentral:rRNA from 1 species
AAACAUCUUUUCUUGUUAGUUUUUGAAGUAUGGCCUGCCCGCUGACAUUUGAGUGUUGAAGGGCCGCGGUAUUAUGACCGUGCAAAGGUAGCAUAAUCAUUAGUUCUUUAAUUGUGAUCUGGAAUGAAUGGCUUGACGAGGCACGGGCUGUCUUAGUGUUGAAUGUUUUAUUGAAUUUGGUCUUUGAGUUAAAAUUCUUAGAUGUUUUUGUGGGACGAGAAGACCCUAUAGAGUUUGACAUUUGGUUUAUUUACUUGUUUGUUGUUUGUUUAUUUUUGGUGAGUGGGCUUUUUGUUUUGUUGGGGUGAUGGGAGGAAUGUACUUAACUCCUCUUAGUUUUGGUUAUAUUGAUUUAUAAUUGUUUGAUCCAUUUAUUUUGAUUGUAAGACUAAAUUACCUUAGGGAUAACAGCGUAAA